rnacentral:rRNA from 1 species
ACCUGACUGCUAUCGGAUUGAUACUAAGCCAUGCGAGUCAUUGUAGCAAUACAAGGCAUACGGCUCAGUAACGCGUAGUCAACCUAACCUAUGGACGGGAAUAACCUCGGGAAACUGAGAAUAAUGCCCGAUAGAACAUUAUGCCUGGAAUGGUUUAUGUUCCAAAUGAUUUAUCGCCAUAGGAUGGGACUGCGGCCUAUCAGUUUGUUGGUGAGGUAAUGGCCCACCAAGACUAUUACAGGUACGGGCUCUGAGAGGAGUAGCCCGGAGAUGGGUACUGAGACACGGACCCAGGCCCUAUGGGGCGCAGCAGGCGAGAAAACUUUGCAAUGUGCGAAAGCACGACAAGGUUAAUCCGAGUGAUUUCUGCUAAAGAGAUCUUUUGUUAGUCCUAGAAACACUAACGAAUAAGGGGUGGGCAAGUUCUGGUGUCAGCCGCCGCGGUAAAACCAGCACCUCAAGUGGUCAGGAUGAUUAUUGGGCCUAAAGCAUCCGUAGCCGGCUCUGUAAGUUUUCGGUUAAAUCUGUACGCUCAACGUACAGGCUGCCGGGAAUACUGCAGAACUAGGGAGUGGGAGAGGUAGACGGUACUCGGUAGGAAGUGGUAAAAUGCUUUGAUCUAUCGAUGACCACCUGUGGCGAANGCGGUCUACCAGAACACGUCCGACGGUGAGGGAUGAAAGCUGGGGGAGCAAACCGGAUUAGAUACCCGGGUAGUCCCAGCUGUAAACUAUGCAAACUCAGUGAUGCAUUGGCUUGUGGCCAAUGCAGUGCUGCAGGGAAGCCGUUAAGUUUGCCGCCUGGGAAGUACGUACGCAAGUAUGAAACUUAAAGGAAUUGGCGGGGGAGCACCACAAGGGGUGAAGCCUGCGGUUC